rnacentral:rRNA from 1 species
GAUGAACGCUGGCGGCGUGCCUAAUACAUGCAAGUCGAGCGAACGGACGAGAAGCUUGCUUCUCUGAUGUUAGGGCGGGAGGGGGGAUAAAACGGGGGAAACCUAACUUUAAAAAUUGGGAUAACUCCGGGAAACGGUGCCAAUAACGGGAUAUAAUUUUGAACGCCAGGGUCAAAAAGUGAAGAAGGGCUUUGUGGCCACUAUUAGAGGGAUCCGCGCUGCAUUAGCUAGUUGGUAAGGUAACGGCUUACCAAGGCAACGAUGCAUAGCCGACCUGAGAGGGUGAUCGGCCACACUGGAACUGAGACACGGUCCAGACUCCUACGGGAGGCAGCAGUAGGGAAUCUUCCGCAAUGGGCGAAAGCCUGACGGAGCAACGCCGCGUGAGUGAUGAAGGUCUUCGGAUCGUAAAACUCUGUUAUUAGGGAAGAACAUAUGUGUAAGUAACUGUGCACAUCUUGACGGUACCUAAUCAGAAAGCCACGGCUAACUACGUG